ensembl:lncRNA
UCUGGCCCGGACCAACCAAAUGUUGUCUUGUUUGGGGGCGGGGUGCAUUAGAAUACUCAAAUACACUAAAUAAGGAUAUUGCAUAUUUCCACCUUUGUUUACCGAUAGUCAGGACAUUCAUCUUCAGAUAGCUAGGUGGACCAGUCAGUCAGUACAUUCAUCUUCAGAUAGCUAGGUGGACCAGUCAUAGUCAGUACAUUCAUCUUCAGAUAGCUAGGUGGACCAGUCAUAGUCAGUACAUUCAUCUUCAGAUAGCUAGGUGGACCAGUCAUAGUCAGUACAUUCAUCGUCAGAUAGCUAGGUGGACCAGUCAUAGUCAGUACAUUCAUCUUCAGAUAGCUAGGUGGACCAGUCAUAGUCAGUACAUUCAUCUUCAGAUAG